rnacentral:lncRNA from 1 species
GCAUUUUAAAAAGAUCUAGUUGAUUGCUGAUAGCAGGCCCGCCCUGGCCCCUGGGGACUCAACCCCCAGUUCUUUGUUAUGCAUGUCAAUGUGGCCAGCUCACAAGGCCAUGACGCGGGCUUGCGGUUCCCUGUUUAUCUGCCUCGCACACAUGUGUCUCGGGAACAUCUUGACCUGUUCGAGCCUCCUGAUAGGGGACGGUGACGUGAUGGUAACCCAAGGACGCAGUUAUUACUCUUCCCUCCUCACUUUUGAGUAAUUUCCCGCAGCUGUUAAAAAGAUAUAUAAAGGGAACAAAUCUGGCAAUAAAGUGCGCACACGCUCCCUCCUGGAUGAAGAACCUUGGUGUCCUGUGUAUUUUUAACCCCGCCGUCCCUCGCCGGACUCGGCUCCGUUAGCCGGAUGCGGCAGUUGAUAGUUAAUCUUUGUUAGGUCUUGACAUAAUUGUACUGUUUUGGGGCUUCCACUGUAGCUGUUGAGCAAUCAGCUAUAAAACUAAUAGCUGUUUGGAUUUCUAUCUUUUCUCUCUCGCUGCUUUUAAAUAUCCUUUCUUUGCUAUUUAAGCUUUAUGAUAACUUUACACCAUGUUUAUGUGUGAAUUUUUAAAAUGUUAUUCUUCAUGGAGUAUGCUAUGCAUUCUGUGUAAAGUCGUGUUUUUGGUUUUUUUUCGUCAAUUUUGCAAAAUUAUCUGUUAACUAUCACCAUGAUUACUACUGCUUUCUUUCUUCAACUCUUUUCUUCCCGAGAAUGUGGUGACAUUUUAAAGAUUUUGCAUUCUAUCUACUGUGUUUCUAAUGUCUUUCGUAUUUUCAAUGUCUUUCACUAUUUCAGCAAUUUUUUAAAUUUUCAGUAUUUCAGCAAUUUUCUCAAACUUACUUGCAGCUCAUUAAUGUUCUCUUCAGCCCUAUCAGCCGUAUCUAAUCUGCUGUUUAAUAAAAGGUAUACAUUUGUAACUUAAGCAAUUAUGUUUUUUUUUGUUUUUAAAAGUUUUAUUGCAGGCUGGGGUUGUGGCUCAGUGGUAGAACGAUUGCCUAGCACAUAUGAGGCACUGGGUUUGAUCCUCAGCACAACAUAAAAAUAAAAAAAUAAUGGUUAUUGUGUCCAUCUACAACUAAAACAAAUAUAAAAAAAAUUUUAUUGGGUCUUUUUUAAAUCCUGCCUGUCCACGUUGUAAAAAAAUUCAGCAUUACUGAGAUCUAAUUUGUAUACAAUAAAAUGCACCUAUUUUAUGAUUAUAAUUUAAUGAAUUUUGACAGAUAUACAUACCACUUUCUUUCCCCCCCACCAAAUUUUAAUACUCAAUGUUCUAAAAGUUUAAGGUUUUAGAAUUUAAAUUCUUUUUUCUUUAAGGAUUGCUGUACUUUGUUUUGGCCAGCAAAUAAGUUACUUGCUGAUGGGUUUGAUCCCUCUGAGUGCUAUUUUUAAGCUUUCCUGGUGUGGACCUAGAAUAAUCAAUGAGAACUAUCUGCUCUGGCUUGAACUUCUUUUUAGCCCCGUUAAGAUUUUCUUUUCUUAAUACACCUUUAUACCACAAUUUAUCAAAUCUCUGUUUGUGUAUAAGGUAUGUUGACACCAAAUUCACAUCUUCAUACUUAAAGGUGUAUUAAGAAUUGCAAUGCAAAAAAAAAAAAAAUGAAUGUAAUGCACUCCUCUAUU